rnacentral:rRNA from 1 species
CCUACGGUGGGCAGCAGUGAGGAAUAUUGGUCAAUGGUCGGGAGACUGAACCAGCCAAGCCGCGUGAGGGAGGAAGGUCCAGAGUAUCGUAAACCUCUUUUGUCAGGGAACAAAGGCUGGGACGUGUCCCCGGAUGAGUGUACCUGAAGAAAAAGCAUCGGCUAACUCCGUGCCAGCAGCCGCGGUAAUACGGAGGAUGCGAGCGUUAUCAGGAUUUAUUGGGUUUAAAGGGUUCGCAGGGGGUCUUUUAAGUCAGCGGUAAAAGUCGGGGGCUCAACCCCGGCCCGCCGUUGAAACUGGCAGUCUCGAGUUGGAGAGAAGGAUGCGGAAUGCGCGGUGUAGCGGUGAAAUGCAUAGAUAGCGCGCAGAACUCCGAUUGCGAAGGCAGCAUGCCGGCUCCACACUGACGCUGAGGCACGAAAGCGUGGGUAUCGAACAGGAUUAGAUACCCUGGUAGUC